rnacentral:rRNA from 1 species
AUUGAACGCUGGCGGCAUGCCUAACACAUGCAAGUCGCACGCGAAAGGGGGCAACCCUGAGUAGAGUGGCGGGCGGGUGAGUAACGCGUAGGAAUCUACCUGGUAGUGGGGGACAACCCGGUGAAAACCGGGCUAAUACCGCAUACGAUCCACGGAUGAAAGCAGGGGACCGCAAGGCCUUGCGCUAUCAGAUGAGCCUGCGGCGGAUUAGCUAGUUGAUGGGGUAAAGGCCCACCAAGGCGACGAUCCGGAGCUGGUUUGAGAGAACGACCAGCGACACUGGGACUGAGACACGGCCCAGAGUCCUACGGGAGGCAGCAGUGGGGAAUAUUGGACAAUGGGGGCAACCCUGAUCCAGCAAUGCCGCGUGUGUGAAGAAGGCCUUCGGGUUGUAAAGCACUUUCGGUGGGGACAAACAAGGUGGAGCUAACAUCUCCGCCUCUGAUGGUACCCAAAGAAGAAGCACCGGCUAACUCUGUGCCAGCCGCCGCAGUAA